UGGGGAAUAUUGCACAAUGGGCGCAAGCCUGAUGCAGCCAUGUCGCGUGUAUGAAGAAGGCCUUCGGGUUGUAAAGUACUUUCAGCGGGGAGGAAGGCGAUAAGGUUAAUAACCUUGUCGAUUGACGUUACCCGCAGAAGAAGCACCGGCUAACUCCGUGCCAGCAGCCGCGGUAAUACGGAGGGUGCAAGCGUUAAUCGGAAUUACUGGGCGUAAAGCGCACGCAGGCGGUGUGUCAAGUCGGAUGUGAAAUCCCCGGGCUCAACCUGGGAACUGCAUUCGAAACUGGCAGGCUAGAGUCUUGUAGAGGGGGGUAGAAUUCCAGGUGUAGCGGUGAAAUGCGUAGAGAUCUGGAGGAAUACCGGUGGCGAAGGCGGCCCCCUGGACAAAGACUGACGCUCAGGUGCGAAAGCGUGGGGAGCAAACA
rnacentral:rRNA from 1 species